CAGUAGCCACGGUAAUACGGAGGAUCCGAGCGUUAUCCGGAAUUAUUGGGUUUAAAGGGUGCGUAGGCGGAUAGAUAAGUCAGUGGUGAAAGACGGUGGCUCAACCAUCGCAGUGCCGUUGAUACUGUUUAUCUUGAAUAUGGAUGAGGUAGGCGGAAUGUGGCAAGUAGCGGUGAAAUGCAUAGAUAUGCCACAGAACACCGAUUGCGAAGGCAGCUUACCAAGGCAAAAUUGACGCUGAGGCACGAAAGCGUGGGGAUCGAACAGGAUUAGAUACCCCAGUAGUCCCUGUCUCUUAUAC
rnacentral:rRNA from 1 species